AGAAACGCAUAAUACGGAAUCUCAAGCAAGAAACAAUCAGCAUAAGUAGAAUGAUAAUAUACAAUGUUUUCUCUUGCAAGGAAGUUGAUCAAAUAUUGAUAAAAAGUCUCACUGGAUAUCAGAAAUCUAUAGGGAAACGUUAAUCAAAUUCAACAGGAAAAAAUGAUAAAAAUUCCAGGGUAUUUAAAUCGAAACCAAGCUUGUUGAUUCAAUUGAGUCGAAAAUGAAGUUCAACUAUCUUGUUCUCGUUGCGUUGCUUGUAGCACUCUUCUCUCUGGCUAGUGCAGUACCACAGCCAGAUCCAGAACCCAUGGCCGAACCCAGAAUAAAAUUCAUAAGAAGACCAAGGACUGGUUUGUCAGGAAAUAUUCUCAGGAAAGUGUUUGGAAGUUAAAUGAACAGAUUGGUAUAUUAGAAUUAUGACAACAAAUAAACUUUAAUUCUGUUGGUUUUCACCUACUUAGAAUAAGAUGAUUUCAUUUAUGAAUAAAUUGAAUUAUUAAAACGUAUGAUGAUGCAUUUUCAACAUGUCUAUUCAAUUCCAUAAUUGUAAUUCGUUCAAAAGCUAGUCAACUUGAUGUAGUACAAUAAAAUUAUUCAAAUAUU